ensembl:snoRNA SNORA63 Small nucleolar RNA SNORA63
AAGCAAGAUUCAGGUUAGAAUAUACCUGUUAAAUGCUAUAUAAAUGGCAUUUCCCCUGCUUACAAUAAAGUUAUUUCUUAACUAUACCUGUCCACUAUACUCUUGUAGCAGCCAGGGAUGCUUGGUCUCAUACAU